rnacentral:lncRNA from 1 species
GUGCGACUAACCCAUGUUCAGUGGCAGUGAAAUGCAAAUAAAGUGCUCACUAGUGGGACUGACCCAUGUUUAGUGUCAAUAAAGAUGAAAUACACGUUAGUGGGACUGACCCAUGUUUAGCGGCGACGAAAAUAAAAUACUCACUAGUGGGACUAACCCAUGUUUAGUGGCAAUAAAGACGAAAUGCACGCAAGUGGGACUGACCAUAUUUAGCGGCG